rnacentral:misc_RNA from 1 species
UGAAGAUGCGUCGGCGCGGCGAUGGUCACCGCGUCGGGUCCAGCAGCGAGCAUCUCUUCAAGAGUCGCGAAAGUCGGACAGCCGACAAUUUCCAACGCUCGCGUGCGGUGCGCAGGAAGCGGAUCAACGAUACCGACCAAUUCGACACCGGGCAGACCGGCCAGCACGCGAGCAUGAUUGGUGCCCAUAACACCUGCGCCAACGACGCCGACGCGCAACACCCCUUCGUUGCCAGCCGU